rnacentral:lncRNA from 1 species
CAGGACACAACACCUAGACCCUUCAUCUCUACUACAUCAAUAUAUAUAAUUCCUCACUUCACUCUCUUCACUUUCCACAAAAAAUCUAAUGCAGAGUCUUCAAAAUGUUCAGCAACCGGCUGUCGGUCGUCGGUUCAACCAGCUGGGCGAUCAGAAGCCAUUCAUGAGCGGUGGCCUCUCGUCGCUUGCUACUCGGUCAACCAGUAGGCAAGCGGGCAACAAUAACAAUAUGCAGACGAAGCAGCCCACGGUGGCCGGAAGUGGUAGUGGUCGUCUGAGGCAUGCCGGAGCCGUGAAGGCCUUACUAGGUUUAAGUAACCUAUUGGCGUCCACCAAGGUGAAGGCGGUGGCGGGCGGUGGUGACGGUGAAGCAGACUGUUGGUGGGUUUUUGGCUGACACAGUCCUUUUGCCCAACACUGUUGCUGACCUCAUCGGUACAACUAUGAUCUUGGAGCUCAUUCCCGCCGACCUUGAU